rnacentral:rRNA from 1 species
UACGUAGGGGGCAAGCGUUGUCCGGAAUCAUUGGGCGUAAAGAGCGUGUAGGCGGCCCGGUAAGUCUGUUGUGAAAGUCCAGGGCUCAACCCUGGAAAGCCGAUGGAUACUGCCGGGCUAGAGUUCGGAAGAGGCGAGUGGAAUUCCUGGUGUAGCGGUGGAAUGCGCAGAUAUCAGGAGGAACACCUAUAGCGAAGGCAGCUCGCUGGGACGACACUGACGCUGAGACGCGAAAGCAUGGGGAGCGAACAGG